GAUGAACGCUGACAGAAUGCUUAACACAUGCAAGUCAUUGGCGAAGCUGCGCUUGCGCAGUCUAGCCAAGGCGGACGGGUGAGUAACGCGUAAGGAACUUGCCCUGCAGACAGGGAUAACAGACGGAAACGACUGAUAACACCUGGUAUUGUCAGGCUGGCGCAUGCCGGCCUGAUGAAAGGAGGCGCUGCAGGUGAGCCUUGCGUCCUAUUAGCUGGUUGGUGGGGUAACGGCCCACCAAGGCGAUGAUGGGUAGCGGGCCUGAGGGGGUGAACGGCCACAGGGGGACUGAGAUACGGCCCUUACUCCUACGGGAGGCAGCAGUGGGGAAUAUUGGACAAUGGGGGCAACCCUGAUACAGCAAUUCUGUGUGCACGAAGAAGGUUUUCGGAUUGUAAAGUGCUUGCAGCAGGGAAGAAGAAAGUGACGGUACCUGCAGAAGAAGCGACGGCUAAAUACGUG
rnacentral:rRNA from 1 species